rnacentral:sRNA from 1 species
CCAUGCCAUAUAUUUGCAUCUCCUCGCCGCUGGAACUCAGAUUUAAGAAAAGUUUGGAACUCCUUUCCCUUGCCCCCAUUGUCGUCCUCCCUUCUUCCUCUUCCCUUCUAAACAGGCCUCCUGAUAAGCUCCGUCCUGGCUCUGUGUACGCUCUUUCCCUUCAUCUCCGUUCUAUAGUAUAGCUUUCACUAUCUCGUCGACACAUUGCGAUCCGAGUUGCACAGCUUUCACCUUACCAGAACGGAGUCUUUGGAGCUACAAUAAACUUCCCCCCACAUGUGCUGGAUUUUUUCCUGGAUACCCGUGCGCAGCAAUUGAUUACCGGCGUUGCCGUUGCGCCCGUCGCCUUUCUUCUCUUCUUUUCACUUCCUUUUUUUUUUUUUUCUCUUUCACCACCAGGGUCGUUCGCUUCUAUCGGUCUCUCCUAAUGUUUCGCAACCGGUACGUGGAAUAGAAUACUGCCAGUCGAUUACAGCACGGUUUUAUACUCCAGGCGCAAUUGAAAGGUCCUCUUAGCUUAAGCUCUUCUGCGGUAUACAGGAAAAGUUCACAGAAACCGGGGGAGGAGCUCUAUUCUAAUUUUAAACAAAAAUUUCCCGAGAUUUGCCCUGGAGUUGGCUCGACAACAGCCCAAAACAUUCCGGGCAAGAUUUUAGCUGAUGCGCCCAUGAAACAGGCUACCCCACAAAGAGCAACGAUGGACUCUGAAGAAAACAAAGCCACAGAACAAACACCAAAAGGCCUGCCGGAUCAUUGGAGAUUUACCCCUUCCAUAAUGGACCCCAACUCUUACGCGUUCACGUCGCUUGCAAACCAGCCCUCCACCUACUAUACCGCGACACCGACCGGCAUGGGCAUUUCCUGCCAUUCCCAAGUACCUGACCUCUCUACUCCCGGGAUGGCACUGAAUUUACUUAGUCCGCUUUCAAUCCCUCCCGCAACUUCAGCUACCGAUGCAGCUGCGAUGCAGUCUGCAAUCGACAUGAAUUCAUUUCAUUCAUUUACUCCCCACCCAGCAAAUGGCGUCGACUCUUUCCAUCAUCCGCCCCCCUAUACUCCGAGCGGUUUCGUAAAUCGAGAUGCAAGAUACGACCCGCUGCAUGUUGAGAAUUCGCCUAUUAAUGGGGUGAAUACUACUAACCACAUUGGAUUGAUCCCUCACGGUAUCGGUCUGUCAACGCCUGUUGACAAUCAUCCGACUCCCGGGGGUGAGAACUUCCGAUUCAAUGUAACGCUCAAGGCAGCAACAGCGAUGGUCAAAGACCCCGAUGAGAUCCCCAUUACGUAUCUCAACAAAGGCCAAGCAUACACAAUGUCUGUUCUGGAUACUGCGCCAAUGACGUCAGGCGCGCAACCUCUAAAAUAUCGCACUUAUAUUCGCAUUUCUUUUGAGGAUGAUGAACAACGCUCAAAGCCAUCCAGUUGCUGGCAGCUCUGGAAGGAAGGCCGUGGGUCCAACGAAGCUCAUCACCGUGACGGAAAGCUAUUGGCUGUUGAACACGUUGACCCUAACCAAGGCGGAGAUGGAGACAUCAGGCCUUCCCAGGUUCAUCUGGAAACAUCUAAUUUUGACGGUUUCUCUGUUAUUUGGUCCCCGAACCCUGCAACCGGGAACCCAUGCUGCUCGAUAUCAGUUCGUUUCAAUUUCCUGUCCACUGAUUUCAGCCAUUCCAAGGGUGUCAAGGGAAUUCCAGUCCGUCUAUGUGCCAAAACAGAGGUUAUAUCUAUGGGUCAUGGCGAUCCACCUCUUGAAGACCGGCCUGAGGUGUGCUACUGCAAAGUUAAGCUGUUUCGAGACCAUGGUGCGGAGCGAAAGCUCUCAAAUGAUGUCGCGCAUGUGAAAAAACUUAUCGAUAAGUUGAAACAACAGAUCAGCCAGGCUGAACUUGGGUCUGGCUAUGAUAGGAGAAAAAGAAGCGGCUCUUUCGUCAAAGGAAAGCUUGCAAGGCAUAAAAGAGGGUGGUCGGGUGAUUCCAACAAUGAGUCAGGAAAAUCAAGCCUGGAAGACGACCUCCACGUCAAGCUCUGUACUUUAAAGGACAUGUUUUCAUCCACUCGCCCCUUCAGCGCUCUCAACUUGAAGGGAGACCCCAAUGAUGAUCCAGACCUAUUCCCAGUCCACCUCGGAAUUAGCGACGAAACGUUCCCGCCCGCGAUAGGCUGGGAGUCCCGAAAUAACGCGGACGCAUCCUCAAUAACAUCCCAGCAUGUCUUGUCUCCCGCAACUAGCAACCAUUCGCUCAGCUCUUCUCAUAACUCUUUCGACCCCAAGACAGGAUUUCCUCAUCAGCAACAGGUCUAUGACGGCUCCCGCCACGACUCGAUGGAUUGGUCUAGCGUUUCACAACAGGAUUCCGAUAGCCAGCAGCAUAUUAGUAACAAUGGUCGGUACUUGAGCCACCCAGUGAAGGUCCAAAAGGUUUCGGCUGACGGUCGCUCUGGUAAUGAUGGCUGGAUCGAAGCGAUGGAUGUCGAUGCCACCUACCAGCCGCCGUUAGUCGUCCCAAAGAAGCCCACUUCCUGCUUUUACGUACAAAUACGACAGCCUUGUGGCAACCAAGUCCCGGAUGGUUACUAUCAUGCCGUGUAUCUCUCACAACGCACAGCCAAGGACCUUGUUCAUGUCAUCUCCAAAAAAUGCAAGAUCGAUGCAUCGCGUGUUGUUCGGGCGCUCUGCCUUCGUGGAAAUGGGCUCCAUGUCAUUCUGGAUGAUGAUAUCGUCAAUGAGCUCCCCGAAGGACAAGACAUGGCCGCUGAGAUCUCUGAGGUCCGCGAUUGCUCAUUGGAUGCUAGCACGGAUGGUGACUCGUCCACAACUUCGACGUCCUCUGGAAUCGAAGUCAAGUUAAUCUUUUAAGGAAGCUCUCAAUCCACCUGUUCCCUAACGUCUGCUGUGGCGUUUCUUUUCUUUUCUCCCUUUUUUUUUUUGGUUCAUUUCUAUAUUUUCAUUUUCGCUUUUUAUUUCCUGGUUGAUUUCGGGACCUUCUUCUCUUUCGCCCUUUCGAGGUGCAAAUGGCUUUGGUUGUGCUUUUUUCAAGUACCUCGGUUGUUUCUCGUGAGAUAUCUUCUGGCGUUCACGGGCGUGCAUGUUUCUUCUCUGUUUUGCCUUUGCUUAUUUUUUUUUUUUUUUUUACAUCGCUCUGCUCCUGAGUUUGAGUUGGAACUCCUCAGGGAGGCAAUUUGCUAUUGAGCCUGGACGCUUACUCGCGUUGGCCACCCCCGAUAGGUCCAGAGGCCAGGGACGCACAUAACGUGAAUCACGAUACAAAAGGGAAAAAAGGAGUUUUUGAAAAACCAAAAUUAAAACCACGAAUUGAAGAUUGGUAAAAUGAAAACGGACAAAUCUUCGUUUUUCCUGGGUGGCUGGUUUGCUCGGUUGUUUAUGCCUCUCUUCCUUUUCAAAUAUUUUCCUUUCUUUCUUCUUUUCCUUCUUCUUAUUUCCAAUUUUUAAAAAUCGGAUAUUUGAUUCUCUUGUCAUACACGCUCUUCUAUGCUUUUCUCGGCCCGGUUUUGUUAUGUUUUUUGGUUUCCUUUUCUUAUUUUUUUUAUUUCAUAUAUAUAUUAUCAUUAUUAUUCUUACUGUCACUACGGAGCACAUACCCUAUACACCAGGGCGUCGGCCUUUUUGCUGUUUUGAAGAAGGAACGCGUUUGGUCGAGUUUUAUUAACUCUGUUCACUUUUUGAUCGAAUGGUGCUUGCGCUCUUCUUUUCUUCUUCUUCUUCUUCUUCUAAUACUACCGCUACUCCGUUAUUAUAAUGUAUCUCCUUUUAAUGUUUCGUAUUGUUUCCUAUUAUGAAGCAAUGGAUCUAUUUGUCGAGAUAUGACACGCCGCCUCCUUUUUUUUCUUUUAAUGUUCAAAGUAAUGAUAUUUAGCGCCUUGACGCCCUUAGCUUUCUUUCUUUUUUCUCCAUUUUGGGUUUUUUCCUCUUUUGUUCCUGCUCGUGGGAAUAUCUUCGCUUCCUCUUUUAUUGUUUCCCCUCUCCCUUUUACUUUUUUGUCUCAAGGAUGGCGAAUUGGCGAAUGAAGCCACAGGAAAUUAAUUGACGAAGGGCGGAUGACGUUUCUUUUCUACUUCUCUUCUUCUUGAUUCUUCUCUUUCUUGAAAUUGGCGGUUAACUCUUGGUUGAUUAUACCUGUCCUGUACCUGUACCUGUACCUGUACCUGUACCUGUACCUGUACAACAGUGUCUUGUUUACGUUGAUUACCCUGCAAUUAAUAUACGUCUGU